rnacentral:rRNA from 1 species
UACAGAGGUGGCAAGCGUUGUUCGGAAUUACUGGGCGUAAAGGGCGCGUAGGCGGCCUUCUAAGUCAUACGUGAAAUCCCUCGGCUUAACCGGGGAACUGCGUCUGAUACUGGAUGGCUUGAGUUCGGGAGAGGGAUGCGGAAUUCCAGGUGUAGCGGUGAAAUGCGUAGAUAUCUGGAGGAACACCGGUGGCGAAGGCGGCAUCCUGGACCGAUACUGACGCUGAGGAGCGAAAGCCAGGGGAGCAAACGGG